rnacentral:rRNA from 1 species
UGACAGGAGCUUGCUCCUGAAUUCAGCGGCGGACGGGUGAGUAAUGCCUAGGAAUCUGCCUGGUAGUGGGGGACAACGUUUCGAAAGGAACGCUAAUACCGCAUACGUCCUACGGGAGAAAGCAGGGGACCUUCGGGCCUUGCGCUAUCAGAUGAGCCUAGGUCGGAUUAGCUAGUUGGUGAGGUAAUGGCUCACCAAGGCGACGAUCCGUAACUGGUCUGAGAGGAUGAUCAGUCACACUGGAACUGAGACACGGUCCAGACUCCUACGGGAGGCAGCAGUGGGGAAUAUUGGACAAUGGGCGAAAGCCUGAUCCAGCCAUGCCGCGUGUGUGAAGAAGGUCUUCGGAUUGUAAAGCACUUUAAGUUGGGAGGAAGGGCAUUAACCUAAUACGUUAGUGUUUUGACGUUACCGACAGAAUAAGCACCGGCUAACUCUGUGCCAGCAGCCGCGGUAAU